CGAAGGGGAGCUAGCGUUGCUCGGAAUCACUGGGCGUAAAGCGCACGUAGGCGGAUCUUUAAGUCAGGGGUGAAAUCCUGGAGCUCAACUCCAGAACUGCCUUUGAUACUGGGGAUCUCGAGUCCGGGAGAGGUGAGUGGAACUCCGAGUGUAGAGGUGAAAUUCGUAGAUAUUCGGAAGAACACCAGUGGCGAAGGCGGCUCACUGGCCCGGUACUGACGCUGAGGUGCGAAAGCGUGGGGAGCAAACAGG
rnacentral:rRNA from 1 species